GAUGAACGCUGGCGGCGUGCUUAACACAUGCAAGUCGAACGGUGAACGAGGGAGCUUGCUCCCUCCGGAUCAGUGGCGAACGGGUGAGUAACACGUGAGCAAUCUGCCCUGGACUCUGGGAUAAGCGUUGGAAACGACGUCUAAUACCGGAUACGAGGCGUGGGGGCAUCCCCAACGCCUGGAAAGGACUUCGGUCCAGGAUGAGCUCGCGGCCUAUCGGCUAGUUGGUGAGGUAACGGCUCACCAAGGCGACGACGGGUAGCCGGCCUGAGAGGGUGACCGGCCACACUGGGACUGAGACACGGCCCAGACUCCUACGGGAGGCAGCAGUGGGGAAUAUUGCACAAUGGGCGCAAGCCUGAUGCAGCAACGCCGCGUGAGGGACGACGGCCUUCGGGUUGUAAACCUCUUUUAGCAGGGAAGAAGCGAAAGUGACGGUACCUGCAGAAAAAGCACCGGCUAACUACGUGCCAGCCGCCGCCGUAACAC
rnacentral:rRNA from 1 species